AUCUGAUUGGGGAAAAAGGGACCCAUCCAGGCACCAGACUCAGCGUUGGGCUUUAAAAACAAUAUAAAAUGAGGGUUGUCGGUGGAUUCAUUGAUUUUUGAUAGUCUGCUAAGCCAAGCUAAAGCCAAACCGUAUUGCAAUUUUCACCGAAUCCCUCUUCUGUUGAACUGUGACCCUGGCCAAAAGCUUAUCCCCAUUCCUUAGCAACAAGUAAUCUGAUUUCUCAUUCACAAACUCACAACCCGCCACUUCUAUCCAGAAAUUUAUAUCAUUAAACAUGAACGGCGAUGAUGCUUACGGUGUAUUUGAGGCACAGUACAUAUGGAGACACCACAGACACCAGCCUGGAGAAAACCAGUGCACUUCUGUUCUCGUCAAGCACAUCAAAGCUCCUGUUC
rnacentral:misc_RNA from 1 species